AUUGAACGCUGGCGGCAUGCCUUACACAUGCAAGUCGAACGGUAACAGGUCUUCGGAUGCUGACGAGUGGCGAACGGGUGAGUAAUACAUCGGAACGUGCCCGAUCGUGGGGGAUAACGAAGCGAACGCGUUGCUAAUACCGCAUACGAUCUACGGAUGAAAGCAGGGGACCGCAAGGCCUUGCGCGAAAGGAGCGGCCGAUGUCAGAUUAGGGAGUUGGUGGGAUAAAAGCUUACCAAGCCGACGAUCUGUAGCUGGUCUGAGAGGACGACCAGCCACACUGGGACUGAGACACGGCCCAGACUCCUACGGGAGGCAGCAGUGGGGAAUUUUGGACAAUGGGCGAAAGCCUGAUCCAGCCAUGCCGCGUGCAGGAUGAAGGCCUUCGGGUUGUAAACUGCUUUUGUACGGAACGAAAAGACUCUGGUUAAUACCUGGGGUCCAUGACGGUACCGUAAGAAUAAGCACCGGCUAACUACGUGCCAGCAGCCGCGGUAAUAC
rnacentral:rRNA from 1 species